rnacentral:rRNA from 1 species
CCUACGGGAGGCAGCAGUGAGGAAUAUUGGUCAAUGGACGAGAGUCUGAACCAGCCAAGUAGCGUGAAGGAUGACUGCCCUAUGGGUUGUAAACUUCUUUUAUAUGGGAAUAAAACGUUCCACGUGUGGGAUUUUGUAUGUACCAUAUGAAUAAGGAUCGGCUAACUCCGUGCCAGCAGCCGCGGUAAUACGGAGGAUCCGAGCGUUAUCCGGAUUUAUUGGGUUUAAAGGGAGCGUAGGUGGAUUGUUAAGUCAGUUGUGAAAGUUUGCGGCUCAACCGUAAAAUUGCAGUUGAAACUGGCAGUCUUGAGUACAGUAGAGGUGGGCGGAAUUCGUGGUGUAGCGGUGAAAUGCUUAGAUGUCACGAAGAACUCCGAUUGCGAAGGCAGUUCACUGGACUGCAACUGACACUGAGGCUCGAAAGUGUGGGUAUCAAACAGGAUUAGAUACCCUUGUAGUC